rnacentral:rRNA from 1 species
AAUCAACGCUGGCGGCGUGCCUAACACAUGCAAGUCGCACGAGAAAGGGUAGCAAUACCUGAGUAAAGUGGCGCACGGGUGAGUAACACGUGAAUAAUCUACCUCCGAGCGGGGAAUAACUGAGAGAAAUCUUAGCUAAUACCGCAUAACACUUACGAGUCAAAGCAGCAAUGCGCUUGGAGAGGAGUUCGCGGCAGAUUAGUUAGUUGGCAGGGUAAGGCCUACCAAGACGAUGAUCUGUAUCCGGCCUGAGAGGGCGCACGGACACACUGGAACUGAAACACGGUCCAGACUCCUACGGGAGGCAGCAGUGGGGAAUUUUGCGCAAUGGGGGAAACCCUGACGCAGCAACGCCGCGUGGAGGAUGAAAUCCCUUGGGAAUGUAAACUCCUUUCGAUAGGGAAGAUAAUGACGGUACCUAUAGAAGAAGCCCCGGCUAACUUCGUGCCAGCCGCCGCUGU